GAUGAACGCUGGCGGCGUGCCUAAUACAUGCAAGUCGAGCGAACAGACGAGGAGCUUGCUCCUCUGACGUUAGCGGCGGACGGGUGAGUAACACGUGGAUAACCUACCUAUAAGACUGGGAUAACUUCGGGAAACCGGAGCUAAUACCGGAUAAUAUAUUGAACCGCAUGGUUCAAUAGUGAUAGACGGUUUUGCUGUCACUUAUAGAUGGAUCCGCGCCGCAUUAGCUAGUUGGUAAGGUAACGGCUUACCAAGGCAACGAUGCGUAGCCGACCUGAGAGGGUGAUCGGCCACACUGGAACUGAGACACGGUCCGGACUCCGACGGGAGGCAGCAGUAGGGAAUCUUCCGCAAUGGGCGAAAGCCUGACGGAGCAACGCCGCGUGAGUGAUGAAGGUCUUCGGAUCGUAAAACUCUGUUAUUAGGGAAGAACAAAUGUGUAAGUAACUAUGCACGUCUUGACGGUACCUAAUCAGAAAGCCACGGCUAACUACGUGCCAGCCGCCGCCGUAA
rnacentral:rRNA from 1 species